UACGAAGGGUGCGAGCGUUGUUCGGAAUGAUUGGGCGUAAAGGGUUCGUAGGCGGGGACUUAAGUCGGGUGUGAAAGCCCUGGGCUCAACCUGGGAGUGGCAUUCGAUACUGGGUUUCGUUGAGUUUCGGAGGGGGUAGUGGAAUUGCUGGUGUAGGAGUGACAUCCGUAGAGAUCAGCAGGAACACCGGAGGCGAAGGCGAUUACCUGGCCGAGUACUGACGCUGAGGAACGAAAGCGUGGGGAGCAAACAGGAUUAGAAACCC
rnacentral:rRNA from 1 species